GCUCAGCCUGCGUCAGAUACGACUGGCGGAUAAAUAAUCCGCGUGUCGGCGGUUCGAAUCCGCCUCUGGGCACCA
rnacentral:tRNA from 1 species